GCCCUAAUGGCGGAAUUGGCAGACGCGCAACGUUCAGAUCGUUGUUUAGUUUUUCUAAGUAUGGGUUCGAGUCCCUUUUAGGGCA
rnacentral:tRNA from 2 species